UAGGGAAUAUUAGUAAUGGGCGAAAGCCUGAACUAGCAACGCCGCGUGUGCGAAGAAGGCCUUCGGGUUGUAAGGCACUUUUUGAGAGGAUGAGGAAGGACGGUACUCUCAGAAUAAGUCUCGGCUAACUACGUGCCAGCAGCCGCGGUAACACGUAGGAGGCAAACGUUAUCCGGAUUACUGGGCGUAAAGCGCGUGUAGGUGGUUUGGUAAGUAGGGCGUGAAAGCUCCUGGCUCAACUGGGAGAGGCCGUUCUAAACUGCCGAACUAGAGGAUGGUAGAGGGAGGUGGAAUUCCGGGUGUAGCGGUGGAAUGCGCAGAUAUCCGGAGGAACACCAGUGGCGAAAGCGGCCUCCUGGACCAUUCCUGACACUCAGACGCGAAAGCUAGGGUAGCAAACGG
rnacentral:rRNA from 1 species